GGCGCGAUAGCUCAGUAGGUAGAGCAACGGAUUGAAAAUCCGUGUGUCGGCGGUUCGAUCCCGCCUCACGCCACCA
rnacentral:tRNA from 1 species